rnacentral:rRNA from 1 species
CCUACGGGUGGCUGCAGUGGGGAAUAUUGGACAAUGGGGGCAACCCUGAUCCAGCCAUGCCGCGUGUGUGAAGAAGGCCCUCGGGUUGUAAAGCACUUUCAGUGAGGAAGAACGCCUGGUGGUUAAUACCCAUCAGGAAAGACAUCACUCACAGAAGAAGCACCGGCUAACUCCGUGCCAGCAGCCGCGGUAAUACGGAGGGUGCGAGCGUUAAUCGGAAUUACUGGGCGUAAAGCGCGCGUAGGUGGCUUGAUAAGCCGGUUGUGAAAGCCCCGGGCUCAACCUGGGAACGGCAUCCGGAACUGUCAAGCUAGAGUGCAGGAGAGGAAGGUAGAAUUCCAGGUGUAGCGGUGAAAUGCGUAGAGAUCGGGAGGAAUACCAGUGGCGAAGGCGGCCUUCUGGACUGACACUGACACUGAGGUGCGAAAGCGUGGGUAGCAAACAGGAUUAGAUACCCUAGUAGUC